UACAGAGACUGCAAGCGUUAUUCGGAUUCACUGGGCGUAAAGGGUGCGCAGGCGGCCGUGUGUGUGAGGCGUGAAAGCCCGGGGCUCAACCCCGGAAUUGCACCUCAAACUACAUGGCUAGAGCAUUGGAGAGGGUAGCGGAAUUCACGGUGUAGCAGUGAAAUGCGUAGAUAUCAGGAAGAACACCCGUGGCUAAGGCGGCUCUCUAGUACGGUACUGACGCUGAGACGCGAAAGCGUGGGGAGCAAACAGG
rnacentral:rRNA from 1 species